AAAAUGGUGUCUUUUAGAAGGAAAAUGCGUGCAUUAUUGUUUUGAGUCACUUUUCAGAAGUUGCUAAAAAUGUCCAAAUACAUUUUUAAAAGUAGUAUGUAAGUCGUCAGGAAAGAUGCUAAAAACUAGCAGCUGAUUCGCUAGGAUUCUUUAUACCGGGACGGAUGGAAGUUAUCUAAAAUAUAUUUUAUGCACUACAGGUGAAUUACAGGUGAAGUCACUCAAUCCAGUCCCUGAGGCCUGUUGGGGGGACCAUACCAAGGACUCCUGGGGACAGCUAGCUGAAAGAACUACCUGGAUUCAUAUCACACUGCGGGAGGGUAAGACACAUUGACACUGUCGAACAAUAACAGUGUUCGAGAGGAGAACUGGAAUUAACAUAAUUCUGGGGGCCAUCUCUCGAAUGAAGAUUACCUUACCUGUCAUUUCCUCUCUGUUCUUGUUCAUAGAAGUGAAAAUGUGUCUGAAUCUUGCAAAUGAUGUGUUUUCUGGAAGAGGGUGGGGCUUUAUAGGUGAGCUGUCCAUCCUAAACUGUAUGGUUGGGAGACCUUAUUCCUGACCAUAUUCCUACAGCAUGAACCCGAGAAGGCCAGAGGGUAAUAUUGACAUAGUUAAACAAGGAGGAAUUAGUAUUAACCAAGCAUAAGAGAUCACUUGAUCUGGAUAAACAGGAAGUGAGAGUAGGAUAGGGAAGGAUCUCUCAGUGGAGUUCUAUGUAGCCCAAGUGGUGCCUCUGACUCCUUGGCAGUUCAGGACUAAGAGUAGCUAUUAUGGAAGACAUCUAUGCAAGUCUCUGUGUAGUUCAUGGAAACAGGUUAUAGCUCACAUCAUGUGAGAGGGCUACAUAAAUCUACAUACCCAGCAUGGAAGGAGAUGGAGUGUAGUGAAAGUAAGGAUUUCAGUUGAUAACCUAGUGCAUUCCAGGUAGAAAAAGUUAGAGCAGCUGAUUGCUCUAUAGUCAGCCGAAUACAAGCAGAGCCUCAAAGCAGAUACUGACUGUGGAGUUGUCCAGAGCCAAGAGCCGGUGUGGAUAGUUCAGAAAUGGAAUUAUUCACCUAAGGGAACAGCCUGUAUGGUAAAGCUAUUCAUGGAAGCAGGAAAGCCAGAUAAUAAGUUGUAUGGAUUUGCACUAUUUAUAUCCACAUGUUCCUCUGAAAUCUGAGCUUCCUCCUUUCACAGAGGCAAAGGGAGACUGUUUACUGUUUGAUUCAGUAUAGUACUUCUGGGAAAUAUGUGGGGGAAAAUCAGUAUUGCAAUAGGACAGAUAAUGUUACUUCUGAUGCGACCAAUGAGUGAUUUGGCAGGCUGGUUGAGAUCUGGGGAUUUCAGUAAGAUAAGGAGGCCCAGGGCUCACAUCUGUUGGUUGUGUGGGGGGAAUGACGUGAUGGCCGAGUAUUACUGGCUAAUUGAACAGGGGUGUGUGCACUGGUACAUUUGAGAAUGUCUUUCAUACUCAUUCAACACCAUGAUAUGAUGUUGACUAAACGGGAGAAAAUAAGUACUCCGUCUGGGUCUUUUGAUGAUAGGGUUUGUAUUAAUAACAUUGCGGUUCCAAGGGUGGCAGAUGAGAUCAAAGCUAUAAAUUAGAUCCUGGCAGGAUUAGAGUCAAGUAUUUUUUGGUGGUCCACUCUCAAUGAGUAUGUGGAUUGGAUCAAUUAUAUCUAUUAAAAAUCCACAGCGCUUCACCAAUUAUAUCAGAGAUGUAAUGAAUGGUUUGGCAGAAUAGAAUAGUCUUGGAUGUUUGCUGGCUGAAAAGGGUGGGAGGAGUGUAUGGAGGUAAUCUGGACUCCGAGGGUACAAUUAGGAUGGAUCAGUGACCAAGGCCUUGUCUGGUUUACACACCCUAGUUCACGAGUUGGCAGUAAACUCAGGGGUGGAUACUUUUCUGACUAAUUGGGUUGACAGUGUGUUUGGAAGAUGGAAAAAUGUUAUGAUUACUGUGUUAUGGGCUACCUUCACCUGUGUGACUGUGUUAGUUUUGUGCGGAUGUGGUUGAUUGCCUGUAUGAAAGUUAUCAUUUCCAGGACUCUGGAGAAAUCAAUGACACUUCAGAUGGUGAUAUAUGGACCAAUCCUAAACUCUGACCAGUUGAAUACAAA
ensembl:lncRNA